rnacentral:rRNA from 1 species
UGGGGAAUUUUGGACAAUGGGGGAAACCCUGAUCCAGCCAUCCCGCGUGUGCGAUGAAGGCCUUCGGGUUGUAAAGCACUUUUGGCAGGAAAGAAACGUCAUGGGUUAAUACCCCGUGAAACUGACGGUAUCUGCAGAAUAAGCACCGGCUAACUACGUGCCAGCAGCCGCGGUAAUACGUAGGGUGCAAGCGUUAAUCGGAAUUACUGGGCGUAAAGCGUGCGCAGGCGGUUCGGAAAGAAAGAUGUGAAAUCCCAGAGCUCAACUUUGGAACUGCAUUUUUAACAACCGGGCUAGGGUGUGUCAGAGGGAGGUGGAAUUCCGCGUGUAGCAGUGAAAUGCGUAGAUAUGCGGAGGAACACCGAUGGCGAAGGCAGCCUCCUGGGAUAACACUGACGCUCAUGCACGAAAGCGUGGGGAGCAAACAGG